GCCUUAGUACGGCGAGUGAAGCGGCAAAAGCUCAAAUUUGAAAUCUGGUACCUUCGGUGCCCGAGUUGUAAUUUGGAGAGGGCAACUUUGGGGCCGUUCCUUGUCUAUGUUCCUUGGAACAGGACGUCAUAGAGGGUGAGAAUCCCGUGUGGCGAGGAGUGCGGUUCUUUGUAAAGUGCCUUCGAAGAGUCGAGUUGUUUGGGAAUGCAGCUCUAAGUGGGUGGUAAAUUCCAUCUAAAGCUAAAUAUUGGCGAGAGACCGAUAGCGAACAAGUACAGUGAUGGAAAGAUGAAAAGAACUUUGAAAAGAGAGUGAAAAAGUACGUGAAAUUGUUGAAAGGGAAGGGCAUUUGAUCAGACAUGGUGUUUUGUGCCCUCUGCUCCUUGUGGGUAGGGGAAUCUCGCAUUUCACUGGGCCAGCAUCAGUUUUGGUGGCAGGAUAAAUCCAUAGGAAUGUAGCUUGCCUCGGUAAGUAUUAUAGCCUGUGGGAAUACUGCCAGCUGGGACUGAGGACUGCGACGUAAGUCAAGGAUGCUGGCAUAAUGGUUAUAUGCCGCCCGUCUUGAAACACCGGACCA
rnacentral:rRNA from 1 species